UACAGAGGUCCCGAGCGUUGUUCGGAUUCAUUGGGCGUAAAGGGUGCGUAGGCGGUGAGGUAAGUCUGAUGUGAAAUCCCGGGGCUCAACCCCGGAACUGCAUUGGAUACUGCUUUACUUGAGUACUGGAGAGGGAACUGGAAUUUACGGUGUAGCAGUGAAAUGCGUAGAGAUCGUAAGGAAGGCCAGUGGCGAAGGCGAGUUCCUGGACAGUUACUGACGCUGAGGCACGAAGGCCAGGGGAGCAAACGGG
rnacentral:rRNA from 1 species